UCUCUCUCUCACACACACACACACACACACACACACACCCCAUAAGGCACCAGCACUGGGGUUGAGCUCCUGUGAUUAGUGACUUUUCCACAGAAGGCUAAGGACCCUGUAGAGGGGACCCAGAGAGAACCAGAGCAACUUCCUUGGGUGACACAGUGCCAUCCAAACCUAUUAUCAUCAUGGAAUAAAUAUCAAUUAUCUGCCCUGAGGAAAUACUACCACUCCUAAAAUCGACACUUUCUCCUACAAUGACUCGAGGAGUUUGACCCACAGCACAUGAGCUGGGAAAGACCUGGACUCUGGUGUAUCAGAAAGCCUUUUAAUCCAUCUCUGAAGGGAAGUGGAGAUGGCAGCUGGAUGUGCCCAGCAUGGUGGAGUAGUGCAACCCCGAGAGGAGACAGAGCUGGGGUUUCUCAGGAAAAUUCUCUAAAGUCCCUAACAAAAACAGAACACAGGACAAAGGCCAGGUAAUUAGAGAAAAGUUUCAUAUUCCUGUCACCAGAGCCAAAUCCUCUCCCUUCAGAUUAGGUACUGGCUCCUGUAGGGGUACCCCACUUUGUGGAGCAUCCCAUGCACCCCAAUGCUCAGAAUCUAAAUAAUUUGGCUUGUGUGAACCUUCCAGAGUGGGUAACAUGACAUUCAUGUCAACUUUCCAACUAAAAUAUCACUCAUGGACUUCCUCAAGGUCAGAGAAGGCUCUGGUGGGAGAGGGUGUAGGUUUUAAGAGAAGGUAAUUUCUAUGUGAAGAAAUGCAGAAAUGGACCAAAUGGUUCUUGUCGCUCCAUGGGCCUGGAGAAUUCCUGCCUGGUAUUCUUAGAGCCCUCAAGUUUAUAUGCAGGAGGUUAAGGAAGAGGAGGGUGAGCAGGCACCAGGUAAGCAGGGGUUCGCUUGCCACAGCAUCUGAGGGUGCAGGUUUCAGACCCCCUUGAAGCAGUGUCUCCUGAACUGUCAGGAGAGGAGAAGGGAGCCAUCCUCUUUCUGUAGAGCAUAAAAGGGGCAAAAGAGGAUGGGUCACCAGAUGCUGUACCAAGCCCUCCCCCGAGGCUUCCCAACAUGGAGAAACUACACAAGUUGGGCAGGGGACUUGAGAACCAAGGACAGAUGGUCUGUAAAUUAACAGAGCUGUGCAAAGGGCUCCCUCAGAAGGCCUCUUAGAGGUCAAAAGCUAUGGGCACUUCCUGCUUCCACACACCACCCCACCCUGCAUCAGCUCAUCCCACCACCCCAACUUGGAAUCCAUUUCUCAGCUUCCCUACCCGACCAUGUGCCAUCUGCAUCCCGCCCCUCCCAGAACACAUGCUGUUCUCCUAUUACAUACAGGGACAGAGGUUCUGCACUGAGACAGGCCAUGAGUGAUGAAGGAAUAACCAGGUUUGGACAUAUCUGUGAUGGUCACCACCUGGAACAACCUGUAAAACACACAAGAUAGAGGGUGACAGAUCCCCAGUGGGUGACGCACUGGAAUGACUAUUACUUUCAAAACAUUGCUGUUUUAUUUCAACAUGCUAGAGCUACCAAGCAAAACUUCCCUCCAUGUGAGAGAGUCCAGAUGAAGCCUGUCUAUCCUGUCCUCAUGUCCUCCUGCUUGGACCACCUUCAUGCCCCCAACCCAAUCUGUAUCAUACCUGUUCUCAGAGGGGUGCCGAGAGGUGGACAGUGCCCCCUGUCACAUCCCACACCUGCACACCCCCACUCCUGCCCCUCCAGGCUCCACGACCUCACAGUCUGCCUGUUGUAAAUACUGCUGUACAGUUUGUAAUCAGACCAUCCCGUUGUGAAAGGUCUCGCCUGCUAAGCCUUCUCGCCCUUGAGCAAGGCCAGGGAUCUAGAAGGGGAAACCUUUCCAGAAGAGCUUCAGGGUCAUCUCUGUGUGAGAAGCUAUUGUAUAUUCCUGUAAGAUUGCAUUUUUAUCUACGGAAUGAUGUUAUUUAAAAAACAAACAAAAAAAAACACAAAAAAUAAGAAUUGCAAAUAAAUUUCUUAACAAUGUCUAUCUUGGUUUAAUUGUUUCCUUCCCU
rnacentral:lncRNA from 1 species